rnacentral:tRNA from 1 species
GCCCCCAUCGUCUAGAGGCCUAGGACAUCGCCCUCUCACGGCGAAAACCGAGGUUCGAGCCCCCGUGGGGUCA